rnacentral:rRNA from 1 species
CCUACGGGAGGCAGCAGUGGGGAAUAUUGGACAAUGGGGGGAACCCUGAUACAGCGACGCCGCGUGAGUGAAGAAGUAUUUCGGUAUGUAAAGCUCUAUCAGCAGGGAAGAAAGAAAUGACGGUACCUGACUAAGAAGCCCCGGCUAACUACGUGCCAGCAGCCGCGGUAAUACGUAGGGGGCAAGCGUUAUCCGGAUGUACUGGGUGUAAAGGGAGCGUAGACGGCGAUGCAAGUCAGAUGUGAAAUCCACGGGCUCAACCCGUGAACUGCAUUUGAAACUGUUUCCCUUGAGUGUCGGAGAGGUAAUCGGAAUUCCUUGUGUAGCGGUGAAAUGCGUAGAUAUAAGGAAGAACACCAGUGGCGAAGGCGGAUUACUGGACGAUAACUGACGGUGAGGCGCGAAAGCGUGGGGAGCAAACAGGAUUAGAUACCCGAGUAGUC